rnacentral:rRNA from 1 species
GCUUUGAAGUGUGGACGCCAGUCUGCAUGGAGCCGACCUUGAAAUACCACCCUUUAAUGUUUGAUGUUCUAACGUUGGCCCCUAAUCGGGGUUGCGGACAGUGUCUGGUGGGUAGUUUGACUGGGGCGGUCUCCUCCUAAAGAGUAACGGAGGAGCACGAAGGUUGGCUAAUCCUGGUCGGACAUCAGGAGGUUAGUGCAAUGGCAUAAGCCAGCUUGACUGCGAGCGUGACGGCGCGAGCAGGUGCGAAAGCAGGUCAUAGUGAUCCGGUGGUUCUGAAUGGAAGGGCCAUCGCUCAACGGAUAAAAGGUACUCCGGGGAUAACAGGCUGAUACCGCCCAAGAGUUCAUAUCGACGGCGGUGUUUGGCACCUCGAUGUCGGCUCAUCACAUCCUGGGGCUGAAGUAGGUCCCAAGGGUAUGGCUGUUCGCCAUUUAAAGUGGUACGCGAGCUGGGUUUAGAACGUCGUGAGACAGUUCGGUCCCUAUCUGCCGUGGGCGCUGGAGAACUGAGGGGGGCUGCUCCUAGUACGAGAGGACCGGAGUGGACGCAUCACUGGUGUUCGGGUUGUCAUGCCAAUGGCACUGCCCGGUAGCUAAAUGCGGAAGAGAUAAGUGCUGAAAGCAUCUAAGCACGAAACUUGCCCCGAGAUGAGUUCUCCCUGAGACUUAGAGUCUCCUGAAGGAACGUUGAAGACGACGACGUUGAUAGGCCGGGUGUGUAAGCGCAGCGAUGCGUUGAGCUAACCGGUACUAAUGAACCGUGAGGCUUAACCUUA